rnacentral:rRNA from 1 species
CCUUCGGGUGCGUCUAUGGGCGGCGAGCGGCGGACGGGUGAGUAAUGCCUAGGAAAUUGCCCUGAUGUGGGGGAUAACCAUUGGAAACGAUGGCUAAUACCGCAUAAUGCCUACGGGCCAAAGAGGGGGACCUUCGGGCCUCUCGCGUCAGGAUAUGCCUAGGUGGGAUUAGCUAGUUGGUGAGGUAAGGGCUCACCAAGGCGACGAUCCCUAGCUGGUCUGAGAGGAUGAUCAGCCACACUGGAACUGAGACACGGUCCAGACUCCUACGGGAGGCAGCAGUGGGGAAUAUUGCACAAUGGGCGCAAGCCUGAUGCAGCCAUGCCGCGUGUAUGAAGAAGGCCUUCGGGUUGUAAAGUACUUUCAGUCGUGAGGAAGGUUCAUGCGUUAAUAGCGUAUGGAUUUGACGUUAGCGACAGAAGAAGCACCGGCUAACUCCGUGCCAGCAGCCGCGGUAAUACGGAGGGUGCGAGCGUUAAUCGGAAUUACUGGGCGUAAAGCGCAUGCAGGUGGUUAGUUAAGUCAGAUGUGAAAGCCCGGGGCUCAACCUCGGAAUUGCAUUUGAAACUGGCUGACUAGAGUACUGUAGAGGGGGGUAG